AUUGAACGCUGGCGGCGGGCCUAACACAUGCAAGUCGAACGAGUGGCGGACGGGUGAGUAAUGUCUGGGAAACUGCCUGAUGGAGGGGGAUAACUACUGGAAACGGUAGCUAAUACCGCAUACCAUCAGAUGUGCCCAGAUGGGAUUAGCUUGUUGGUGGGGUAACGGCUCACCACGGCGACGAGCCCUAGCUGGUCUGAGAGGAUGACCAGCCACACGGGAACUGAGACACGGUCAAGACUCCGACGGGAGGAAGCAGUGGGGAAUAUUGGACAAUGGGGGAAAGCCUGAUGCAGACAUGCCGCGGGUAGGAAGAAGGCCUUCGGGUUGUAAAGUACGUUCAGCGGGGAGGCGUUACCCGCAGAAGAAGCACCGGCUAACUCCGUGCCAGCAGCCGCGGUAAUUC
rnacentral:rRNA from 1 species